rnacentral:rRNA from 1 species
ACGGGUGCGCAACGCGUGGGAAUCUGCCCUUAGGUUCGGAAUAACAGCUGGAAACGGCUGCUAAUACCGGAUGAUAUCGCGAGAUCAAAGAUUUAUCGCCUGAGGAUGAGCCCGCGUUGGAUUAGGUAGUUGGUGGGGUAAAGGCCUACCAAGCCGACGAUCCAUAGCUGGUCUGAGAGGAUGAUCAGCCACACUGGGACUGAGACACGGCCCAGACUCCUACGGGAGGCAGCAGUGGGGAAUAUUGGACAAUGGGCGCAAGCCUGAUCCAGCAAUGCCGCGUGAGUGAUGAAGGCCCUAGGGUUGUAAAGCUCUUUUACCCGGGAAGAUAAUGACUGUACCGGGAGAAUAAGCCCCGGCUAACUCCGUGCCAGCAGCCGCGGUAAUACGGAGGGGGCUAGCGUUGUUCGGAAUUACUGGGCGCAAAGCGCACGUAGGCGGCUUUGUAAGUCAGAGGUGAAAGCCUGGAGCUCAACUCCAGAACUGCCUUUGAGACUGCAUCGCUUGAAUCCAGGAGAGGUCAGUGGAAUUCCGAGUGUAGAGGUGAAAUUCGUAGA